AGCGAACGCUGGCGGCAGGCCUAACACAUGCAAGUCGAACGGAUCCUUCGGGAUUAGUGGCGGACGGGUGAGUAACACGUGGGAACGUGCCCUUUGGUUCGGAACAACUCAGGGAAACUUGAGCUAAUACCGGAUGUGCCCUUCGGGGGAAAGAUUUAUCGCCAUUGGAGCGGCCCGCGUCUGAUUAGCUAGUUGGUGAGGUAACGGCCCACCAAGGCGACGAUCAGUAGCUGGUCUGAGAGGAUGAUUAGCCACACUGGGACUGAGACACGGCCCAGACUCCUACGGGAGGCAGCAGUGGGGAAUCUUGCGCAAUGGGCGAAAGCCUGACGCAGCCAUGCCGCGUGAAUGAUGAAGGUCUUAGGAUUGUAAAAUUCUUUCAGCGGGGACGAUAAUGACGGUACCCGCAGAAGAAGCUCCGGCUAACUUCGUG
rnacentral:rRNA from 1 species